UAAAGGCUCUCGCGCCGCUGAGACGGUCAAAUCUACAUCUACGUAAAAGAGGAAGCUGUCUGGUUCUUUCCAAAAUGGCGGCCACCAUAGAGAACAGCAGUGCUGGAGCUGCGAAUAAGAAAAAGCAUUUAGGAAUUCCUGAAGCAGUGUUUGUAGAGGAUGUGGAUUCGUUUAUGAAGCAGCCCGGCAAUGACACGGCGGAUGUUGUACUGAGGAAGCUUGAUGAACAGUACCAGAAAUAUAAAUACAUGGAACUCAACCUGGUUCAGAAAAAAAAUGAGGUUUGGAGAAUUUUGAUUCUUUCUUGUGACAAAUGAAACUGGAAGUCGAGUCAAACUCCAAACCACUCAUCAUUUCUGCAGUCAGUAACUCUAACGCUAAAUGUCAUGUGGAUGUGACUCUGGAUCCUGAUGCAGCUCAUCCAUAUCUCAUCCUGUCUGCUGAUGGAAAACAAGUGACAUGUGGGGACAGACAAAAGAAUCUCCCUGAUACAUCAGAGAGGUUUCAUACAAGUUUCUGUGUUCUUGAGAAGCAGAAUUUUUCCAUGGGGAGAUUUUAUGAUGAGGUGUAGGUUUAAGGAAAAUCUAACAGAUUUAGGAGUAGCCAAAGAGUCCAUGAGAGGGAAGGGGUCAAUUACACUGAGCCCUGAGGAUGGAUUCUGGCCUAUGGCUCUGGAAUGAGAAUCAGUAUAAGGCUUCUGAUGAUCCCUCUGUUCCCCUCAAACUGAGAGAGAAGGUGGAGUUGGUGGGGGUGUUUGUGGAUUAUGAGGAGGGAUUGGUCUCCUUUUAUGGUGUGAAGUCCAGAUCUCAUAUCUGCUCUUUCACUGAGAAACUAUCCAUACUUCAGUCCUUGUAAUAAUGAUGGAGGUAAAAAUUCAGCACCACUGAUCUUCUCUCCUGUAUUUAACACUGAAUGAAUUUCACCUCAUAAAUUUAAUUAUCAAUUAAUAAAUGGUAAGAAUAACAAGAAAUGUUUUAAUUUAUUAGGUUAAAGCUACAAGUACAUAUUCCCAUUUAAAAUCCUUUAAAAUUUAUUUUUAUACCUGUAAUCCUAUAGUCUGUUUUUGAGAUUAUUAUUGUAGAACUUUGUCAUAAUAAAAUAAAAUAAAAUAUCAAGAACAAACCCAGGCCACAGCAGUUCAUAAGAAACUGUAGAGCAGCAUGAAAUGUUAGAGCUGGUGUUAUUAUUUUAGGUUCCUGAUCUUAGCUAUACUCUGCUCUUUACUCUGAGAAUAAGUGAACCCAGAAAAGUAAUUUCCUUGAGUCUUUUGCAGCUACGUUGCAUUUAUAUCAUACUGUUAUGGUACAGGUGUUUGAUUCAGCAAGUUUCAUCUGUACUUCAUUCCUCACACUAGACCACAGAGAGAACUGGAUUAGCUGGUACUGGUGGAAAGGAGGUUUUCUCCAUAUUAUUUCAGUAUAUUACACAUGGUAUGGCUUUGCACUACAACAAUGAUGAUAAUCAAUGUUUCUUUAUGAACUCCGCAAUUUUCAUCCAUAUCCUUUAAUGUUUAAGAAUACAGGAGAAACAGAUUUCACUGACACUAAUCCUCACACUUGCCAAUGGCAAUGCUGUGGGGAGAUGAAUGGGGUUAUCUGGAACCACCCAUUGUAUGGACUGGCUCUAGUAAGAAUCCACCAUUUUAAGUUUAUUUACUCAAAACAAUUUAACCACAAAAAAUAAUUAGAUUUGAGUAAAACUAACACUAUGAAAUAAUUUAGACUCAUAUGAAACAUUUUCACCAACAUAUUAAAAAUUAGUAAACAAAACUUUUAUGGCUCAAGUAAGACUGACUUGUAUGCAUCAGUUUACGCUAAUAUUACCACUUAAGUUUCAUUUACUCAUACUUCUUCUACUAAGACAAGUUAUUACAAUCUAGUUAUGACAACUUCAAUCUUUAUCAAGAUGUCUGACAAAAUGUGGGUUAGGAAUCUUUUCUUUUACUCACUUGGGCUUCGCAAAAGAGUCCAGGCCAUCUGUCUUUUAGUUUGGCAAUGGGAGGAGCUGAAUUCAGUUUCUUCAUGCCUGAGCGCAAAGCUCCGCUGCAUAUGCUGAUGGAUUAGUAUCAUGUCUCUUCCUCUGAUUCCUUCUUGAACUGCUCCACCAUCUCAAGUCUCUGGGUCUCCAGGGUGUCCUUAGUUUGUCUGUGAGGAUAACUGGGAAGAAAGUUGACUUCCCCUCUUCUUUUGGUGUUGGCCCUGGAGCCUGCACCCUCUGGAUUGGUCCUGCUGCACUUUCCUGCAUUUAUAGCCACAUCCUUUAUGCCAGCUCUGCUCAGUUUGGUCCUGUAGUUGCCCAUCUUAAAGCGCAGGCUGUUCUUCCAACCCUCAUACCCUGUUUUGGAACCAUUUUCCUUUAGACAGGGAUGUUUGCUCAUAAGAGCCUCUGCAACCUAUUUGUUUGCUACUAGGAUAUGCUUUGUGCAUAUAUUUCAGCAGCCAUAACAUCAAGUAUAUUGUGUUUUUGAUCCCUAGUUAACCGGAUCAUUUUCCCCUCAGAGUUGACCCUUCUUAGAGCAUACUCCACCUCAUGAGAAAGUUGGAACCGCGAAGAUGUCUGGCCACCGGCAAAGAUGCUCUGCUGAAUCUGUGUUAUCAGACAGCAACACUGUGUCUUCUGUGCUGGUCAAACUCAAAUCUGACUCAAUGAAUCUAAUUAUCUAAACAGUUGCCUUGGAUGGUAGGUCCUCUAUGUUAACUAAAUUGUACAGGGCAUUGUCAAACUCUGGGUCUUGAAACUGAAGGCGAAACUCGUAAGUCAGGUUCAGCUUAUUUUUCACCUCAAAUAUUAGGGCAUUUACAGUCUCAGGGUGAGAGGGCAAAAUAAGCCUCUCGGCAUUGACAUCAUCAAGGAUGACUUGUAGUUUCAAAACUGACGUACAUCAUUUGAAUUGCACAGAAGGGCCAGCUGAGUGGAGUGUAGGGGUGAGCGGUAUUUUACUGGCAGAUUAGCUAAUGUCCAAUAAACUGCACAUACUUUGUGUAUUUUCUUUGAUGUGCCUAGAGGGUUUGCUAUUUCAAAAUCAUCAGUAUAGAAAAUUAUUGAUAAUUUCUGACCCUCCUCUGAGAGAAGCACAUUUUCCUGGUAGUAGGAGCCAUCACAGUAUGACAAAUACACCCCAGAAGAAUGUGAACUGGCAUUUUGUACUUUCUCAAGUUCAUCUGUUUUUUUAGCAACUGUUGCAAAGAUGUGAGAAUGGGCACAUACAUAUAGGUAUGCUGUGAUGACUCAAUAAGAUACUCUACAGGUUUAACAAAUGGAAACCUCUCCUCAUAAUAUGAUUUUCUCCUCUUAGUGGUUGACAGUGGUCCCUCAGAUGUAACAGAUUUAUGCAAAACAUUACUCUCUGAAACAGCCUGGACAAUCUCAUUUUCAAGUAUGUCAGUAGCAGGAAAGUUGUUUUUUCAAUAUGUUGAUAACAGAUUCUUUGACUACAGGUCCUGACAGUGAAAACAACUGAUGAGUAUGUUCAAUGAUUUCCUGUGUUGCCCUCUGUGAUACAUGAAGAAUAGUUUGCAUUUUCAAGAAGAAAGCAGCCAGAUUGUACUCUAACUGCUCCGGUAAACCAUCAGUGCUACUGGCUGCUAUAGGGUUGAUGUCAGUUUUUUCUGAAAGCUCUUCUGGGUCAUGUUCAGUGUCACUAUCCUGUGAAAUAUUUGGCACGUGUUGCACAACAAUUGCUACAUCAGUCAGAUGCAUUUUGACGUUCUCUGCACUUGUGUGCAUUAAAUGUGGAGUAGACAUUAGUUCUAAACUUGCAGGCCCUGAAUGGACAUGGCACCAUUUCUUUGUGUUACGUGCCCAUAUAUGUCUCAACAAAUGGCUGCUUAAAAUCACAUAUUGGGCAAUGAAAUGCCCUAGAAAUCACAUGACUUUCUCCAGCUAAGGUUACCAAUCUUUUUUCUGAAUGUACUCUUGACAAAUGAACCUUCAGUGAAUUAAAAGUACUGAAUGCACACAUGCAAUUAUUAUACAAGCAAGGUAAAGGUGAAACUGUGGAAUACUGACCAUGACUGAGCCUGUAAUGUCUCAAUAACUGUAUUUUUGAAGAACAUGAAAAACCACACAAUUUACAUUUCCACAUCAUUUGUGCCCUCAAAACAACCAGCGUAAGAUAUAAAUAACAAUAAAAUUAUGCAAACUUGUUUCGGUUAAGGUAGUAAGGUUAAGCCUAAUAGAGGGUUUCUGUCCAUGGCUUCAGUUGGUUAAGUGUCAGUUUUUCAACCGCUGAAAAAACACUGGAUGUGACUGAAGCGCCAAAGAAAUUAAAGUCUAACCGACAUUAUGGCUAAUAUUACCUUUAGCUUAAAUACAAUGUUUAGAAGCUCUCAAAUAUAUUCAUGGCCAUUAGUCGGGUCAUUUAUUGUGUGCUUUCAAAUUAAAUUAGCAUGAGUUAUCUGGUAACCGAAUGAAAACAGUGUGUGACUUGACAGUUAAUGAGUUUGAAAGGCAUGGGCUGGUGAGCUAGCUAGCUACCUUAUUAACUAGUUCACAUUAAAGCUAAUUUCAAUUUCAUACUUUGGCAAACUAUCGAAACUCGGCAGCCAAAGUUUCUUAGACGAUGUCUGGCAGCGACUUUCAAAUAAAUUAGUUAAGAGAAACAAAAGUUAGGCCACUAUGAUUGGGCAUGCUUUUAAGCUAACACUAGUGUUUGCCCUACUCAGUAAGGAAACGUAACACGUUUCAGCCUUUGCAGAACGUGCUUAUAACAACAUAAAUGUAAACAGUGUACAAAGAAGUAGUAAAAUAACAGAACAACGUUACCUACCGUAUUGUCGCUUUUUUUCCGAGAGGGCAAACAAAUCCUGUCAGCAACAACCACACAAAGCAGCACAUAACGUCCUUGGAGCUACACCGUGUUGCCAGCUGCGUGUAGUCUGGACCGAAUCGAACCGGUUACCUGCUGUGCUUCUCAGUGCCGUGUGCACUCAGGUGGAGCGAGAGGUUUACUGCACACAUCACGUUCACUUUUUUUUUUUUUUUUUUUUUGGAGAAAACAACAAUUUGGGUCACUCAAAUACAAAUGAGAACACAUGUUUGUGUGUAAAACUAAAAAAUCCAAAUUAUUACAUUUACUUCUCAGAAACAAAAACAAAGUAAAUUAAAGCAAGUACAAGAGAAUGUAGAAACAUGAAAUGCCAUAUUUACUUAAAAAAUAGUUUAUUGAUUUUCUGGUGAUCAAUUAAUCAAAAAACUGUAACUGCUUUAAUAACAAAACUGUACACAAAUUGGUGAUCUCCUCAGUCCCCUUUAAAUUUCAUAUGAAAACAACUUCGGGUCUUUCCCGUAUUUCAGCGCGUUCUUCAAUCCGCAGACCAGGGCGUCACAGAGUGAGGAUCAGAGGGCGUGUGUGUGUGUGUGUGUGUGUGUGUGUGUGUGUGUGUAGGUCUUUGGCUUGUUCAGUUCUCAAAUGUUAUACACAUCUAUGCAAUACAGUGGAAUGCUGAAAUAAGUUUACCAUCAUAUCCUGUUAGUCAAACCUUUAUUUUAAUUAAUUUUUUUUUUUUUACUGUUAUACCCUCAUUAUAUUAUAUUAUAUAUAUACCCCCUUAAAUGAAAAUCCUAGAAUCGUCCCUGUUUGACAUAGAUCAACUUUUAUUAAAUCAUUUAUUUAUUUAUUUUGUGUUAAAACUUUGCAACUUUUCUGGCUAGAGUUAAAAAAAACAUUUACCUUUAAUAGGAAAAUAAAUCAGAAGCAUUUUUAAAACAUACAGUGUCUCCUUUAUCAACUUUAGAGUCACAUGUUCUCUUGCAAAACCUAAAACAUACCAGAUAUUCAUCAGUAGACACACACAAGUUUUUUUCCUCAAAUUGUUUUCUCUCAUGUUUUGUGACUCUAUGUGUUUUCUGAAAAUUUGCAAACACAUAUGAAACAGUAAGGGUUCAGAAGGAAAACAUUAUAUAUUUCUCAUCUUUAACAAGCUCCUACCAUAAACUGUACAAGUUUUAUUUUGUUCAAGGAAUAAUGUAAAAAAUGUUUAAUUAUUUAAUCUUCUACAAACCCCUUUAUAAAUCCUAAUAAAUGUGAUCCAUAAUUUAAUAUUUAAUAUUUUUUACUUGCGCAUUCAUAUCACACACUGUGUGUUUCUUUCAGUGGAUGUGACUCUGGAUCCUGUUACAGCAAAUCCAUAUCUCAUCCUGUCUGCUGAUGGAAAACUAGUGACACGUGGAGACAGGCAAAAGAAUCUUUCUGAUAAACCAGAGAGGUUUAAUGCAAGUUUCUGUGUUGUGGGGAAGCAGAGUUACUCCUCAGAGAGAUUUUAUUAUGAAGUGCAGGUCAGAGGGAAAAGUAGGAUUUAGGAAUGGCCACAAAGUUCAUUAACAGGAAGGAGUGGAGUCAAUUUCACUGAGCCCUGAAGAUAGAUUUUGGACUGAAUCAGUACAGGGCUUGUGCUGGUCCCUCUGUCCCCCUCACACUGAGAGAGAAGGUGGAGGUGGUGGGGGUGUUUGUGGAUUAUGAGGAGGGUCUGGUCUCCUUUUAUGAUGUGAAGUCCAGAUCUCAUAUCUACUCUUUCACUGGUCAGUCUUUUACAGAUAAACUCUAUCCAUAUUUCAGUCCUUGUAAUAAUGAAGGUGAAAAUUCAGCACCACUGAUCAUCUCUCCUGUAUUUAAGACUAAAUGAAUUUCGCCUCAUAAAUUUAAUUCUCAAUUAAAUGGUGAGAAUAGCAAGAAAAGCUUAUCAGUUUAAAUGUACAUAUACAUAUUCCCUUUUAAAAUCCUUUACAUUUCAUUUUAAUACAUGUAAUCCUACAGUCUGCUUUUUGAGAUUAUUAUUGUGAAACUUUGUCAUUACAAAUAAAAUAUCAAGUUUAAGAUAUAGUUUACACUGAACUUUACUGCAGAAUCUAAUAUGGUCACUGUUGUUGUCUUUCGACUGCUCCCUCCUUGGGGUCAACCUGGGUUCAGAUCAUCCGAUCCACAUAUUUGAUUUGGCACAGGUUUUACACUGGAUGCCCUUAUGCAGCUUUCACAUUUUAUUCUGGGCUUUGGACUGGCACUGAUUCCCUCAGUAGCUUGGUUGGUUUCCUGCCCAGGAACCAAUCCCAGGCUACAGCAGUUCAUGAGAAACAGUGGAGCAGCAUUAAAGGUCAGAGCCAGUGUUCUGGUCUUCUAGUGGUUCAGUUCCCCUGUUUCUCCAGGUGAACUGUGUGCAUGUGUGAAAUCAUUAGGUCAAUAUGUGCUAAUUUCAUUAUUUUGUAUUCAUCAGCGUAAGGUAAAGUUCAGGUUGCCUGUAAAAUAGUUUGCAAUUAAAUACAUGCACAGAAUGUUUUGCUAUCAGAGUCCAGGCACAGAAAAGUGGUUUCCUGGAGUAUUUUGCAACUACAUUACAUUUAUAUCCUACUGUUGUGGUACAGAUGUACAUUCAUAACAGUUUCAUUCAGCAAGUUUCAUCUGUACAUCAUUCUUUUACACUAGACCACAGAGAGAACUGGGUUAGCUGGUACUGGUGGAAAGGAGGUUUUCUCCAUAUAUUACAGUAUAUUACACCCAAUAUGGCUUUGCACUACAAUGAUGAAGAUGAUAAUCUAUGUCUCUUUAUGAACUCUGCUAUUUUCAUUCAUAUCCUUUGUUUAAGAAUACAGGAGAAACAGAUUUCACUGACACUAAUCAAAGGUAGCUUAGAAUUAAAAUACUACAGUGAAGCUAGUAAUGUGUCAUCUUAUCACACAUCACCCCAGUUGCAAAGCUGGGGGAGUGACUGUUAGAGCCAUAAUAGACAUUAUGUAAAUAUGAGUAUAUUGAAGUAUAUUGUUAAAAUUGUUAUUACUGCAUUCAUAUUUUUUAUGACCUUUUUAUGAUAUUUAUACUGUUAUUACAUGUGCUGUAUUAUGUCCUAAUUACUGUAACUGAUGAGGUGACUAAGACGUCAUAUCCGGGUCAGUGGUGUAGCAAGCAAGAGACGGAGCAAUACAGUUUUUGACCAUUGUUCCAUAUUCUGUUGUUAUAUAAGUUUAAAAGAUUGUUCCUGCUUUGAAGUACAAAUAAACGGGAAUCAAAAAAGGAAUAUACCGACUU